CCAAAAAAAAAUAUAAAAGAAAAUCAUAUAAAAGGCGUUUCUCUGAAGUAUAUCAUUAUUUUUGCUUUUUUCACCAGCGUUAUUCACGAAAUAUUUCUGAUUCAACGUUUCGAUUUUCAAGUAUGAGUCGUUACUGGUGGCCGAAUCGGUCAUAUUGCACGAAAUAAUUCCAAUGCCUCCCGAUGGAAGUUGUUUAUUUCAUUCGAUUGCAAUUUCACUAUUUAAUUCAAAUUCGUUACGACUUUAAACAUUACAUUAUCUCCAUGUUGCAUAAUCUACUAUUAAAAUAAAAAUAAGUUAAAUAAUAGUUCUUGGGUCUUGUAAUUCAAAAUUGUGUUUGCUAGAUGAAACUAUGUUAAAAAACCUAAUAGAUGUUUUCAAUAUACUUUCAAAGUCACUGAUAGUUCUAUUUACUUUGACAUCUAAAGAGAGCCAUUAAUACCAUGGGAAAAUUAAAACUCUUAACAAUAAUUAAAGCUCAUUUCCCAAAAAAAAAUAACAACAACCGUUUUAAAUGACUCUACCAAUCAGCAUUUUAUGGCAAAAAUAUAAAUGAUAUAGACUGUGACCUAAACACUGUAUAGAUAAAUUAAAAAUGUUUCGAAUACCUUUCAAUAUCAGUGAUUGCCGAUUGUGAAGUAAAUACGAACGAAAUACAAUUGAAUGAAGAUUUACUAAGGACAGACUCAAAUUGAAAACACUGACUUCAAUACACCCAAAAUAUUAUGAUGUUUAUAAUUAAAUCAAUUACAAAGUAAUUGUUCGUUUAUAAUACAUCAUAUCACCCUAUUUAGGCAAAAACACCCACAGUGAGUUUGUAUACAAAUACGUAACAAUAUUAUAAAAUCAGUGCAGCACGCUG